rfam:Psychroflexus torquis ATCC 700755, complete genome.
CAACCUCUGACGAAAUGCGUGAAUGUUG